rnacentral:rRNA from 1 species
CUCGUAGGCGGCUUGUCGCGUCGGCUGUGAAAACCUGGGGCUCAACCCCGGGCCUGCAGCCGAUACGGGCAAGCUAGAAUUCGGUAGGGGAGACUGGAACUCCUGGUGUAGCGGUGAAAUGCGCAGAUAUCAGGAAGAACACCGGUGGCGAAGGCGGGUCUCUGGGCCGAUAUUGACGCUGAGGAGCGAAAGCGUGGGGAGCGAACA